rnacentral:rRNA from 1 species
AAGCGGCGGAGCAUGCGGAUUAAUUCGAUGCAACGCGAAGAACCUUACCAAGGCUUGACAUAUACGAGAACGGGCCAGAAAUGGUCAACUCUUUGGACACUCGUAAACAGGUGGUGCAUGGUUGUCGUCAGCUCGUGUCGUGAGAUGUUGGGUUAAGUCCCGCAACGAGCGCAACCCUCGUUCUAUGUUGCCAGCACGUAAUGGUGGGAACUCAUGGGAUACUGCCGGGGUCAA